UACAGAGACUGCAAGCGUUAUUCGGAUUCACUGGGCGUAAAGGGUGCGCAGGCGGUCGGGUGUGUCAGAUGUGAAAUCCCGAGGCUCAACCUCGGAACUGCGUCUGAAACUACUCGACUAGAGUACUGGAGAGGGACACGGAAUCCGGGUGGAGUGGUGAAAUGCGUAGAGAUCCGGAGGAACACCAAAGGCGAAGGCAGUGUCCUGGGGAGUACCUGACGCUCAGGUGCGAAAGCCAGGGGAAGCGGAACGGGAUUAAGAAACCC
rnacentral:rRNA from 1 species